UCCUCCAAUGGCGCUCCCUCCCUGGCUCGAGCCCUAGGGCCGCCGCCGCCUGGCACCACCUACGGCCGCGGUCGCUGUUGGCAGCACCUUCCGCCUCUGGUGGCUAUCGAAGCCAGGCACCAGCUGCAGCUCCAGCUCCAGCUCCACCUCGGCCCCUCCUCCCCACCCACGGUUGUGGGAAUCCAUACCUGAAGUUGGGGGUUGAUGAUGUGAAAUGGCGGCGUCACGAGCCAGAAGGUCACCACUGAGACCAUAAGCAGCCCAGCACCCAGCGCCCAACAACAGCAAUCCAACAUAUAUGCACAUAACAAGUAUGAGCGGACACACGCAUGAGCAAGCAUGGGAAUAGAAAUGGAUAGCCGUGCUGAGAUGGUUCUUGGGCGUACCUGUGGUGCGGGGAGCGCCGGUCAGCCCGGCGGACCUUUGACAUAAGCACAAUGCUGGAUCAGACACACGCACAGUCGUUGGCGUGUGUGCUGGAUACAAGCAACCGGCGCGCCUUGGUCGCUUGGCCUAUCCAUCAGCAUUAUAUCUCCUUCAUCAAUUAUUUUCUCAUAUUCUUUAUGAUGAAGGCUAGGAACUAUGCUAAAAUAUACAUAUGUCUUAGUUGUUGCUUUUCUUAAUGCAGAUAUGGAAGAUCUAAAAGCCUCUGAAAGAUUUUUGGUUCUGCAGAAGCCAAUGAUCUGGCACACUGAGACCUUAAUUUCUGGAGUGAACGACUGCAGGAAUCAAAAUACAAUGUUGAUGAGAUAACUACUUCUGGUUAGGCCGGGGAAAUAAAAAGGGUAACCGUAGAUAUAUGGUCUAGCAUCACGAGGUUCAGGUUCCUGCUGUUGAUCAACCGUUGCUUCGGUCGAGCCAAGAUGAGUGCUCUACACUUACGUCUCAUGCUAACUGAAUUGGUGAUGUUUAUUUCUUCACCUCGAUUGACGCCGCAUGUUCCCGCUGCUUCUCGGCGGGCACAUCUGAAUCGUGGAGCGUGAACUGGUCAUAGCGAACUGGCCUGUUUGGCAGAAAAGACAAUUUUUUUGUGGCUACCAGUUACAGGUGUACACAAGAUGCUUACAAUUGAGCGGUCUACACUACACAAACCAUCAUUUUGGUCCUUUAUACAUACAAGAGGCGAGCGAGGACACAUACAUACAUUCGACCGCCAAUAAUUCAACUGUCGGUUAUCAAUUGGCUGUGUGUAUCUUGUUUCAAUUGGCAAUGGUGCAUAUACAUUUCACACCAAGGGCGAUGUAGAAAUGCAAGAACAGAAGCUUUGCGAGGUGGUUGUUGAUGAGUCAUGUAAGGAUGGUGCAGAACUCACAAGAGGGAAAAGACCGAACUGCGGUAACCAAAUCAAAUAGCUGAUAAGGUUCACUUGGAAGUGGUUGAGGUAGCCUGACCUGGUGAGACCUGGUGACGCGAUGCAUACAUCGGAGGAAGUAGAUCUGUGAGUGCGGGAGUGGAUCUUGCAAUUGAAGUCGUGUCUCCGAUGCAGAGUAGCAGCGGCGAUGUGGUGGAAACUACAGGGUGAGUGAGAGAUUGGAGGAGGGGAUGGUCAUGAAGUAAGUGGAUUAACAUCGUCUGGUCAAGUAACUUGGGCCAGCCCAUUAUUGUGAAUCUGUCAUUUGUCUUCUUGUAAGCCCACAACACGGUUUAAAUAUGUAUUGGGAGUUUCAAGUUUGGGACAACUAAAUCAGAUAAAUGAACGAAAUUAUAACGCUUAUAACGGUUUAUAAAAUGAAGUAACAAAGUGCAUAUCCAAGUUUAGUUUUCUUGGAAUGUGAUUGUUUGUUA